rnacentral:rRNA from 12 species
UGGUAGUGUGGGGUUUCCCCAUGUGAGAGUAGGUCAUCGUCAAGA